AUGGGAGACCUGAAUGAUAUUCUCUAUUCUUUUGAGAAGGAAGGAGGUAGAGCGAGGCCGGAGAAUUACAUGAAAGCUUUCCAGGACACUCUGGAUGAAUGCCAACUUAAUGACUGUGGAUUCUUAGGGGACAAGUUUACGUGGCAUCGUGGGAAUAUACGGGAAAGGCUUGACCGGGCUUUGGCCAAUGAUGCAUGGAACAAUUUAUUUGCAAAUUCAGUGGUGCAGCACCUGAACUAUUACAAGUCUGACCAUAGGUCGAUUCUUAUGUCAAUUGGGGAGGAGAUGGCACAGGAGAGAGAUGGUAAUAAACUAUUGAGAUUUGAGUCUAGGUGGUUAAAAGAAAAAGAUUUCGCUACGAUUGUGCAAGGUGCCUGGGAGCAUUCUGGACCUACAGCACAGUCGGUCUCCUUGGCAGCGAGGUUGUCGAUCGUACACGACAUCUUGCACAGGUGGGACAGGACUGUUCGGAAUCGAACAAAGAAUAAAUUGUGA
rnacentral:rRNA from 1 species